rnacentral:misc_RNA from 1 species
GAUGAAGAACGUAGCGAAAUGCGAUAAGUAAUGUGAAUUGCAGAAUUCAGUGAAUCAUCGAAUCUUUGAACGCACCUUGCACCCUUUGGACUGCUCCAAAGGGUAUGCUCGUUUGAGUGUCAUUGUACUCUCACACUCUCUGAUCCUUUGGAUUUGGGGAGCAGUGGACUUGGGUGCUUGCUGCUUCCUUGUGGCUCACCUGAAAUGCAUCAGUGCAUCUCUCGAUUGGAUAUAGUACGGCGUGAUAAGUGUCUUCGCCGGCACCUCAUAUGAGGGUGGCCGAUCGGGAGCUCUGUGCUUUCAAACCGUCUUCGGACAACGCUGACAACUUGACCUCAAAUCGAGUAGGACUACCCGCUGAACUUAAGCAUAUCAAUAAGCGGAGGA